CGCUGGCGGCGUGCCUAAUACAUGCAAGUCGAACGAAACUUUCUUACACCGAAUGCUUGCAUUCAACGUAAGAAGUUGAGUGGCGGACGGGUGAGUAACACGUGGGUAACCUGCCUAAAAGAAGGGGAUAACACUUGGAAACAGGUGCUAAUACCGUAUAUCUCUGAGGAUCGCAUGAUCCUUAGAUGAAAGAUGGUUCUGCUAUCGCUUUUAGAUGGACCCGCGGCGUAUUAACUAGUUGGUGGGGUAACGGCCUACCAAGGUGAUGAUAUGUAGCCGAACUGAGAGGUUGAUCGGCCACAUUGGGACUGAGACACGGCCCAAACUCCUACGGGAGGCAGCAGUAGGGAAUCUUCCACAAUGGACGCAAGUCUGAUGGAGCAACGCCGCGUGAGUGAAGAAGGUUUUCGGAUCGUAAAGCUCUGUUGUUGGUGAAGAA
rnacentral:rRNA from 1 species